AUUACUGAGUGACUGCAGCUGGGCUUAUCUGCCUCUGAGAGACAGGUGAGGAAUGAGCUGAAACCAGGGAUCACUGUGGAAAACCAAACAAAACAAAUAAAAACCCAGAAACUUCUGGAAAUGAGAAACGACGAAGGAUCCAUGCAGGAGCUCGAUGGGCCGAGACCAUAUCAACGGUGGACUGAUCACUGAGAACAGAAGGUCCCCAUCUGACAGCCUCUAGACGAAACAUUCUGAGAGUGAGGACCGAUGAUCUGGGCUCGGACUACGACUCCACAAUGGACCAAGAAACCCCUUUUAUGACAGAAAUACGGAAGGAGGCUUCAGAGUCUGAGUCAGUGAGGGAGAAAGAAACGAUUUGAC